UUUUUUUUUUUUUUUCCCUGAGCCGCUGUUUUGGGAUUUCUUGUCGGAGAUCACGAAAGUAAAAAUAAUUGUACAAUUUUAACAUGUUAAACCGUAGCACUUGUGGGGCUCUAGGUGAUUGGUGUCACAAUGUAUUAAAUGCACACUUGAGAACUAGUCCUUACUGUGUAACACUGUUGCACAGCUUUAAAAAUAACUUUGUGCCAGGCACCUUAUGGUGCAUUAUUUUGAUCCUCGGGUCAGCCUUACUGCCUAUUUAUAGAAGAGAGAAUGGAGGCUAAGAGAGGUUAGGAAGCAGGCUCUUGGUACACAGCAAAAGAGGAGCCGAGGGGAAGUUAAGCCUACUUGAUUUCGCAACCUGUACUUGGGUUGUUACGGAAUUCACUGGAAUAGCGUUAGGCCUUCAAGAAUUUCUUUGUAAUCAGAUCCUUCUAAAAUCUUGGCCACAUAGACACCUAGUGUCCUGCUUUGUAAAUUUUAUUUAUUCAUAGACACACAGAGAGGCAGGGACACAGGCAGAGGGAGAAGCAGGCUCCAUGCAGGGAGCCCGACGUGGGAAUGGAUCCCAGGACCCCAGGAUCAGGCACUGAACUGAAUGAACGCACCGCUAAACUGCUGAGCCAUCCAGGCUACCCUCUGCUUUGUUUUUUUGGUUUGGUUUGGUUUUCUUGACCUCAGUCCUUUGCAGUGAAAUUGCACAGUAACCCUGCUGAUUGCAAUGAGUAAAAAUCAUCAGUCUUUCACUUCUUAGUUCUAUAACAGUAACACCUGAUGAGUUAAAUUUAAAAUUUAAACCACGAUGUUGUAUUACAUUGUUUUGGCAGUUAGAAAUUUUUAUCCUACAACAGAUGUGACUAAAAGAAUUGAUCUUGUUGACAUGGUUACCCUCUUAUAGAAAGAAAUCAAAAGUAUCAUCUAUCAGUGUACGUUCUGGCAAGGGAGCUUUCACCAUAAAAUCAGGUUGAGCUUUUUUCCAUUGUUAGGUCACAGCCUGUUUCUGAUGCAAAACGUUUUUAUCUGCAAUUGUUAAGUCGUCUGUCUUAGGAAACACCAAGUUUUAUUAUAAAAAGAAAGCCUUUAUAAAAAACAUACCUUAAAAUGUACAUCAAAAUACUACUUAACAUUUUCAGGGCAGCGCGGGUGGCUCAGCGGUUUAGCCCCCUCCUUCAGCCUAGGGCAUGAUCCUGGAGACCCGGGAUCGAGUCCCACGUCCGCCUCCCUGCAUGGAGCCUGCUUCUCCCUCUGCCUGUGUCUCUGCCUCUCUGUGUCUCUCAUAAAUAAAAUCUUAAAAAAAAUUUUUUUCGGAGAAAGAACAAACUAUUUUUGAAGAUCUAACUUCAUACGAUGGACCCCAAACAAAUAUUGUAACCACAGCAACAAGUGGAAAAUGCUGAUUUCACAAGGCUGUGAGGGUUGGAAGUGGGUGUUCUUUACCAGAAGAAACCUUACGGUCUGAGUAUCUUUUUUGGAACCAAAUAUGGAUAAUCAUCUUUCUCAUUAUAGUCUGUGUCCUCUCACUUAAUUUUCUGCCCAAUUGAUUCUCUUGUAUUGAAACUCUUCAGAUACAAAUUUGACUCUUUUCAGCCCAGUUUUUAGAGAAUAGGGGCUGAAGGAAAGACUUUGGAACCAUGUCUAAGGACAGAUGGGCUGCAGGCUCUCAAGCAGCGUGUUUUCAUCCUGAGAGCCAGAAAGCUGUCCAGAAACUUCUCUUUUUACCAUC
rnacentral:lncRNA from 1 species